UGUUUGUGCUGGAGAAAGCGUGGUGUGGAAAAGAAGGCUGUAACGAAACUUACUCCAAAUAUCCCAAGGACACCUAAUGUGAAGGCAAUCGGUUUCCUAAUGCUCUCUUCACCUCAUCUGCCAGUACUCUGUUAAGUACCGAUAGCAUCAGAGCAGGUAAUGAACUCGGCUUUGGAGAGAUAAUGGUGUUUAUCACACUGACAAAUGCGAGGGCCUUAAGGAUAGGUCCACGUGUUGCUGCACAGUGGCACAGGCAUCUUGGGGCAGAGCUCCUGGAUUCUCGGCCUGACACCCAGAGCAGAUGAGUACUGGGGCAAUGGGCUGACAGGGCUGCAGUGCUUUGGAAGAGAUGGAAGUGCAGAAUGGCAGCAGCAUGGAAACAACGCAUUCCAAAUGACAGCAGAAGACAGAAUGAGAGCUGAGAAUACGGCUGCUCUGCGCCUCUUCAGAGCCUGUGAGCUCCUGAGAGGUCAGCCAAAACCUGUCCAAGUGUUACUGCAGUCCGGUGAUCUGUGUGUGGCCCUGAGGCAAGUUGCAGUGCGUUGUGCUGGAGCUGUCAGCGCUCCUCAGUGCCCAAACACGGCUGUGGGAUGCUAUUGCCGAGCAGUCCUAUGGCCCUUUGGUGGUGACCUUCCUAUUCAGAUGAACUCAGCUGCUGAAGUGUUGCUAAUUGCGAUUUAAAGACCUUAUUGCCGGCAUCAACCUGGCUGUUAUGUAGGCGGCCUCUUGCCAGGAGAUGAUUAUCUCCUUUCUCUCCCUGCGCCCCGAGCGUAGAUAAGGAGAUCUGCUUGUUGCCUGUCUGAAGGAUGGCGCUGCUGACGGGAAGCCGAUUGUGCAAUGCUCCACCUAACACUGAGCUGCUGGUCAAUAAAAGGCAACAAAUCAGAUUGGAGUUUUAUGGGAUUAAUCUCUAGCAGCUACCACUAACGGCCCUACCAGAUCGUGUUCCACUUUGAUUGUUCCAGCAGCAUCCGAGCUGCUGCUGUGGCCAGCAGUCUGUCACAGCGUUGUGCAGUCAUCUUACCUCACCUACCUGCUUGCGAUGGUGGGAGUUUCUCUGUCCUUGUCUGCAUUGCUCUCCCCUGUCCUGCUGCAGAACUUGCUCCUGUUGCUCAUAUGGUUUCUGCAGUGAUGCCCUUCGUGCUUCACAAAGUGCUGUGACGACUGCAGUGAUUCUCAGAGGGGCUGCCUGGUAGUGAGGAUCACACUACUGGUAUUUUGAGUAUUAUUUUCAUCAGCCUCGGUGCCGUGGUGGAAAGGGAUGCUCAGGGUUCCCGAUCCUGCCUGGCAGUGCAGCAUGGGCAGAGCCAUGGGAAGCACAAAAACCUGCUCUGUUCUCAUUAGGGAUCUUUAUCAGGGCUCACCUCCCCGCAGCUGCACCCAACCUGCCCACACCUUGAGGACUCUGUGUGCCUGGUGCUGAGCUGAGGGUGUGAAUGUGGGCAAGGGCUUGCAAACCUGUUCAGAAGUGACUCUCAAACUUCAAAAAUAAAUUAACAAAGAAUAGAAUCCUGUA